GUUUGAAUGACGAGUCCCAAAUGGGACGAAACGCGCGUCAAAC
rfam:Schistosoma rodhaini strain Burundi genome assembly, scaffold: SROB_scaffold0000676